rnacentral:rRNA from 1 species
UACGAAGGACCCAAGCGUUAUCCGGAUUUAUUGGGCGUAAAGGGUGCGUAGGCGGUUUAUUAAGUCAGUGGUGAAAGCCUGCAGCUUAACUGCAGAACUGCCAUUGAUACUGAUGAUCUUGAGUAUGAUUGAGGUGGGCGGAAUGUGUCAUGUAGCGGUGAAAUGCUUAGAUAUGACGCAGAACACCGAUUGCGAAGGCAGCUCACUAAGCCAUAACUGACGCUGAUGCACGAAAGCGUGGGGAGCAAACAGG